AGGGCGAACGCUGGCGGCAGGCCUAACACAUGCAAGUCGAACGAACCCUUCGGGGUUAGUGGCAGACGGGUGAGUAACACGUGGGAACGUGCCUUUUGGUUCGGAACAACUCAGGGAAACUUGAGCUAAUACCGGAUAAGCCCCUAGGGGGAAAGAUUUAUCGCCAUUAGAGCGGCCCGCGUCUGAUUAGCUAGUUGGUGAGGUAAAGGCUCACCAAGGCUUCGAUCAGUAGCUGGUCUGAGAGGAUGAUCAGCCACACUGGGACUGAGACACGGCCCAGACUCCUACGGGAGGCAGCAGUGGGGAAUAUUGGACAAUGGGCGAAAGCCUGAUCCAGCAAUGCCGCGUGAGUGAUGAAGGCCUUAGGGUUGUAAAGCUCUUUUACCCGGGAUGAUAAUGACAGUACCGGAGAAUAAGCUCCGGCUAACUCCGUGCCAGCAGCCGC
rnacentral:rRNA from 1 species